GGAGUCGGCCGGGCAGCCGCUGCGCGAAAGCGGAGAGGAAAGUCCGGGCUCCACAGAGCGGGAUGCGGGCUAACGCCCCGGCGCGUAUAAAUGCCGCGCAAGCGGCGCGAAGGCGACGAACAGGGCCACAGAGACGAGUCCGCGGCCGCAAGGCCGCGGGGUGAAACGCGGCAACCUCCAUCCGGAGCAACACCAAAUAGGCAAGCGCUUGAGGCCGGCUCGGCCAAGCUUGCGGGUAGGUGGCUAAAGGGAAACGGGGUCAUUCCCGUUUUCCGCGAGCACGCGAGGCAACUCGCUGCCUAGAGGAAUGGCUGCCGCGGCGGUGCAGGUCUUCCUACGCCGCCGACAGAACCCGGCUUACAGGCCGACUCCCUUU
rnacentral:RNase_P_RNA from 1 species